AGUGAACGCUGGCGGUAGGCCUAACACAUGCCAGUCGAACGGCAGCACAGUAAGAGCUUGCUCUUACGGGUGGCGAGUGGCGGACGGGUGAGGAAUACAUCGGAAUCUACUUUUUCGUGGGGGAUAACGUAGGGAAACUUACGCUAAUACCGCAUACGACCUACGGGUGAAAGCAGGGGAUCUUCGGACCUUGCGCGAUUGAAUGAGCCGAUGUCGGAUUAGCUAGUUGGCGGGGUAAAGGCCCACCAAGGCGACGAUCCGUAGCUGGUCUGAGAGGAUGAGCAGCCACACUAGAACUGAGACACGGUCCAGACUCCUACGGGAGGCAGCAGUGGGGAAUAUUGGACAAUGGGAGCAAGCCUGAUCCAGCCAUACCGCGUGGGUGAAGAAGGCCUUCGCGUUGUAAAGCCCUUUUGUUGGGAAAGAAAAGCAGCAGGUUAAUACCCCGCUGUGCUGACGGUACCCAAAGAAUAAGCACCGGCUAACUUCGUG
rnacentral:rRNA from 1 species